CCCUUAGAUGUUCUGGGCCGCACGCGCGCUACACUGACGAAUUCAACGAGUUUUCCUUGGCCGGAAGGUCCGGGUAAUCUGCGAAAUUUCGUCGUGAUGGGGAUAGAUUAUUGCAAUUAUUAAUCUUCAACGAGGAAUUCCUAGUAAGCGCGAGUCAUCAGCUCGCGUUGAUUACGUCCCUGCCCUUUGUACACACCGCCCGUCGCUCCUACCGAUUGAAUGGUCCGGUGAAUAAUUCGGACUGUAGCAGUGCUUGGUCCUCCGGGCUUUGCAGCGGAAAGUUUAGUGAACCUUAUCACUUAGAGGAAGGAGAAGUCGUAACA
rnacentral:rRNA from 1 species